AGUGAACGCUGGCGGUAGGCCUAACACAUGCAAGUCGAACGGCAGCACAGUAAGAGCUUGCUCUUACGGGUGGCGAGUGGCGGACGGGUGAGGAAUACAUCGGAAUCUACUUUUUCGUGGGGGAUAACGUAGGGAAACUUACGCUAAUACCGCAUACGACCUACGGGUGAAAGCAGGGGAUCUUCGGGCCUUGCGCGAUUGAAUGAGCCGAUGUCGGAUUAGCUAGUUGGCGGGGUAAAGGCCCACCAAGGCGACGAUCCGUAGCUGGUCUGAGAGGAUGAUCAGCCACACUGGAACUGAGACACGGUCCAGACUCCUACGGGAGGCAGCAGUGGGGAAUAUUGGACAAUGGGCGCAAGCCUGAUCCAGCCAUACCGCGUGGGUGAAGAAGGCCUUCGGGUUGUAAAGCCCUUUUGUUGGGAAAGAAAAGCAGCAGGUUAAUACCCCGCUGUUCUGACGGUACCCAAAGAAUAAGCACCGGCCAACUUCGUG
rnacentral:rRNA from 1 species